UACAGAGGUCUCAAGCGUUGUUCGGAUUCAUUGGGCGUAAAGGGUGCGUAGGCGGCAGGGUAAGUCAGGUGUGAAAUCCCGGAGCUCAACUCCGGAACUGCACUUGAUACUGCCUUGCUUGAGUGCUGGAGAGGAGACUGGAAUUUACGGUGUAGCAGUGAAAUGCGUGGAUAUCGUAAGGAAGACCAGUGGCGAAGGCGAGUCUCUGGACAGCUACUGACGCUGAGGCACGAAGGCCAGGGGAGCAAACGGG
rnacentral:rRNA from 1 species